GCCUGUGACGCAGUCGGUUUAGCGUGUCGUUCUUAUAUUGUAUGCUUGCAUGCAACUAUGCCUCUAUGAGUUAUGCGAAAGUCGCGAGUUCAAGUCUCGCCAGGAUCA